GUGGGGUAAUUUUCCGCAAUGGGCGAAAGCCUGACGGAGCAAUGCCGCGUGGAGGUGGAAGGCCUACGGGUCGUCAACUUCUUUUCUCGGAGAAGAAACAAUGACGGUAUCUGAGGAAUAAGCAUCGGCUAACUCUGCGCCAG
rnacentral:rRNA from 1 species